UACGGAAGGCAGCAGUGGGGAAUAUUGCACAAUGGGCGCAAGCCUGAUGCAGCCAUGCCGCGUGUAUGAAAAAGGCCUUCGGGUUGUAAAGUACUUUCAGUCGUGAGGAAGGUGUUAAGGUUAAUAACCUUAGCAAUUGACGUUAGCGACAGAAGAAGCACCGGCUAACUCCGUGCCAACAGCCGCGGUAAUACGGAGGGUGCGAGCGUUAAUCGGAAUUACUGGGCGUAAAGGGCACGCAGGCGGUUAAUUAAGUUGGAUGUGAAAUCCCCGGGCUUAACCUGGGAAUGGCAUUCAAGACUGGUUAGCUAGAGUCUUGUAGAGGGGGGUAGAAUUCCAUGUGUAGCGGUGAAAUGCGUAGAGAUGUGGAGGAAUACCGGUGGCGAAGGCGGCCCCCUGGACAAAGACUGACGCUCAUGUGCGAAAGCGUGGGGAGCAAACAGGGAUUAGAUACC
rnacentral:rRNA from 1 species